rnacentral:rRNA from 1 species
AGCCUGCCCAGUGACUCUGUUCAACGGCCGCGGUAUCCUAACCGUGCGAAGGUAGCGUAAUCACUUGUUCUUUAAAUGUGGACUAGUAUGAAUGGCAUCACGAAGGUUAUACUGUCUCCUUUUUCUAAUCAGUGAAACUAAUCUCCCCGUGAAGAAGCGAGGAUAAAACUAUAAGACGAGAAGACCCUAUGGAGCUUUAAACAUUAUAACACUUGCUAAAUAAAAUACAAAUUUCAGAAUUAUUUACUCUUUAAGCAACUUGUCUAUAAGUUUUUGGUUGGGGUGACCGCGGAGCAUAAUACAACCUCCAUGUUGAAAGAUCUAUUUCUAAGCUAAGAGCUACACCUCUAAGCAUCAACAUAUUGACAUCCAUUGACCCAAUAUAUUUGAACAACGAACCAAGUUACCCUAGGGAUAACAGCGCAAUCCACUUCAAGAGCUCCUAUCGACAAGUGGGUUUACGACCUCGAUGUUGGAUCAGGGUUUCCCAGUGGUGCAGCCCUACUAAAGGUUCGUUUG